rnacentral:rRNA from 1 species
ACUCAAAUGAAUAGACGGGGACCCGCACAAGCGGUGGAUGAUGUGGUUUAAUUCGAUGCAACGCGAAAAACCUUACCCACCUUUGACAUGUACGGAAUUCCGCAGAGAUGUGGAAGUGCUCGAAAGAGAACCGUAACACAGGUGCUGCAUGGCUGUCGUCAGCUCGUGUCGUGAGAUGUUGGGUUAAGUCCCGCAACGAGCGCAACCCUUGUCAUUAGUUGCUACGAAAGGGCACUCUAAUGAGACUGCCGGUGACAAACCGGAGGAAGGUGGGGAUGACGUCAAGUCCUCAUGGCCCUUAUAGGUGGGGCUACACACGUCAUACAAUGGCCGGUACAGAGGGCUGCCAACCCGCGAGGGGGAGCCAAUCCCAUAAAACCGGUCGUAGUCCGGAUCGCAGUCUGCAACUCGACUGCGUGAAGUCGGAAUCGCUAGUAAUCGCGGAUCAGAAUGUCGCGGUGAAUACGUUCCCGGGUCUUGUACACACCGCCCGU